rnacentral:rRNA from 1 species
UACGUAGGGGGCAAGCGUUGUCCGGAAUCAUUGGGCGUAAAGAGCGUGUAGGCGGUUCGCAAAGUCUGGUGUGAAAACUUGAGGCUCAACCUCAAGCUGUCACUGGAUACUGGCGGACUUGAGUCCGGAAGAGGAGAGUGGAAUUCCUGGUGUAGCGGUGGAAUGCGCAGAUAUCAGGAGGAACACCUAUGGCGAAGGCAGCUCUCUGGUACGUGACUGACGCUGAGACGCGAAAGCGUGGGGAGCGAACAGG